GGAUCUUGAGGAUCACAGUUCGACAACUUCCAUAAUUUGUAACGAUUAUUAUGACAAUUAACAGCUCUUUCUGUAUGUAUCAAGGUGACGUUCAAGCGCGGCGUAUCCUUAUCCUACUGAAUUUACACCCCAACCAGCUGCCUGUGAUCCAAACAUGGAUGAUCAAUCCUCCCAGCAAAAUCCUAUUCCUGUGAAGACUAAAUCCACGGGAUGGUAAGCCCACUUGUCUUGAUCUAUCUCUAGAGGGAUUAGUCAGCAUAAUUAAUCUUUACAUUUGAGUGUAAAAUGAAUUAUAUAUUGUCAGGAAAUGUGGCCAAAUAAA